AUAAUCAAAUAAUCUAAAGAUUUUUCUACUAUAGUCAUAUUCUAUCAACAAACAUGUAAUUGUCUUUUUUUUUUAAUUUAUUUCUUUUUUUUAAAAAAAUAUAUAGAAAAAAAAUAGCCAAAGAUUUUUAAUAAACUUACAUCUAGUUUUUUGCUACUAUUUAUUUUUUAGGUGACUAUCUAAAAUUUUUUAUAGUUGGACUUUGAUUAAUAAAGAAAUUGGAAAUAUUAAAAGUCUCACUCUACAAGUAUCUUUAUAGUUUUCAUUCAAAAAUGGUAUUUUUUAUUUAUUCUAAUAUUCUUUAAUUUUUAAUUUUAGAUAUUUUGUUUUAUUCUAAUGUAAGUACUUAAAUUUCUUAUCUUUGAAUUCUAUGAAUGUCAAAAUAGGUCUUGAUUUCUCUUAACAUAAAUUAUUCUUUUCAAUGUAAUAUGAAUUUUCUUAUUUUUUAUCUAAUUUCUUAUUUCAUGAUUUCUUUCAAAUGUUUAAAUUUCUCAAAUGUCUUAGAUUUUAAUUGAAUGAAAGAUAUGUAAGAUUUUUUAAAAUAAUCAUUAAUAAAUACAAAAAUAUAUUUUAAUCCUUACAAUGAUGGUGUAGAUAAAGAUCUAACUAAAUUGACAUAUAAUAAUUUUAGAUGUAAUAUAGAUAAUUUAGAUGAUGUAUAAGUAGUACUUUUUAAAAAUCUUUCUUUGUAUUGCUUCUUAAUUAAACAAUCCUUACAAAUAUCUUUCAAAAAUUCUAAUCUCGGUUAUCUUUAUAUUUUAUCUUUUUUUGACAACUGACAAAGACUAAUAUCAUUUAAAUAUCUAAAACAUUGGUACUACAAUUUUAUUGAUUCUUUACUUUCAUUUG
rnacentral:lncRNA from 1 species